rnacentral:misc_RNA from 1 species
AUAGACCAUACCAGAAUCAGUUACAAGUAGAGGUUUUCACCAAGUUCUUUCCAUAUACAAGUACCUGUGGCAAUAUAAGCUAAACUAUCUUCACAUCACCCAUUUUAUCAAAGGAAAGAUACAAAGUUCUUUUUUACAACUGAUCCACACAACAUUCAGACUCCUUAGCUCAUAGUUUCUAGAAUCCAAAAGUACGUCACAAGAUUAACUAUUGCUGACUAGUUUGUCUGGUUGUAGUCAUAAUCACCUACUGUGCUUUCAGUAAAUUUAAUCAUUAAUCCUUGAAGCAGAUAUGAACUUGUGUAGGCUGUUGGUCCUCUAUUACAAUAAGAAAAAAGAAACUAAUGUUGUUCCCAACAACCAUUGCAGCUUUGGUUGGUAACACAAAUUUGAAAAGCUUGUUUCAUUUUUAGCUGCAGCAGCUGGUGUUUUUGGAGAAAUGCUUGGUUCAGGCAGAUCACAUGCUCCAAAAGUCAUAUUCUCCUUGCAGGAAACAAUGUUUGCACACCCGCACACUAGAUGUCCAUUUGCCAAGUCUACAGCCUCAGGGGCUCCACCUCCAUCACUUCUCCUGUAAAAAUCUACAGCGAUGAAGUUAGGCCACCUUUUACCAGCGGCUUCAUGACAUGUGUUCAUCAUGUCAAUGAGUGGGGCUGAAUUAUGCUUGCAAGCUUGAGCAAAAUCUGGGGCAUCAGUAAAGUAAUUCAUAAGGACUAACGACUUUGACUUAGUGUUCAUAGCAGAUGAUUCUGCACGAUUUGGACAAGAACCAGGUUUCAUGCCACCAUUUCCAUAUUGGUUUUCUACCAAGUAUCUCCACUCAUAGGCAAUGCCUUCUGAAGAUUCUUUGGCAGACUUAGAUGUGAAGACAACCAAUCUCUGAUUGUGCUGAAUCAUAUCAUCUACAGUUGGCCAUUCUCCACCAUUUUUAGGCAUCCGAGAAACUGGAAACCAGAAUUUUCUUAGGCCAGCCGCAUCAAACACCUUGUUUAGGCCAUUCGGCGAUGUAACAUAAUCCUCAAUUAUAAUUGUAACAAUUUCUGAUGGGUUUGCUUCAAGAAACACUCCUAUCUCCCUCAAGACAUUGAUUGCAGUUUGAAAAGCUGUAUAAUUGUAACAUUUUGCUCCAAAUGAGUGACAUAGCCAGAUGUCAUUGUCGAAGUCAUACAUAUCAAGCAUUAGACCUCUUACACCAUUAUUUAGCUGUUCGGUGAUGGUAUCCUGCUGAUUCAUUGGAGCUAAUAUUACACCUCCUGUCCCAGACUUGGCUUUCAGUUUUGCAAAAGAAUUGUGCGUCGUCAGCCAAGAGUAUCGAUUAAACGGCAAUCCUUUCACCUUCGAAAGAGGAUUGACCGGUUGAAGUCGAGUACAACGCGGACGGACAUUGCCAUUUGCGAGGCAAGUCUCACAAUGUAACCCUGCAUCACAACUUCCAUUGGCUACACAACUUUGUCCUUCCUUAAGAGCUUCACAACAAGCAAACAGAAGAGUAACCGCAACAAACAGAGUAACCGUAAACUUAAAAUUCAUAACGAGAUUCAAGCUCUUCAUCAAUGGCGUCGAUGGAAGAAUCAGUUGGCCAUUUUGAAGGGAAACUGCG